GGGAUAUGAUGAGUGAUAAAUGCUCGCAAAAAAAAUAUGCGAGACGGGUGCCCGCCCAAAGCCUUUUACAACAAUUGGGUCACAGCCAAUCUGAUCCC